rnacentral:rRNA from 1 species
UACGAAGGGGGCUAGCGUUGUUCGGAAUUACUGGGCGUAAAGGGCGCGUAGGCGGCGUGUCAAGUCAGGCGUGAAAGCCCCGGGCUCAACCUGGGAACCGCGCUUGAGACUGGCAUGCUCGAGUUCGGGAGAGGAUGGUGGAAUUCCCAGUGUAGAGGUGAAAUUCGUAGAUAUUGGGAAGAACACCGAUGGCGAAGGCAGCCAUCUGGACCGGCACUGACGCUGAGGCGCGAAAGCGUGGGGAGCAAACAGG